CCUACGGGAGGCAGCAGUGGGGAAUCUUGCGCAAUGGGCGAAAGCCUGACGCAGCCAUGCCGCGUGAAUGAUGAAGGUCUUAGGAUUGUAAAAUUCUUUCAGUAGGGACGAUAAUGACGGUACCUACAGAAGAAGCCCCGGCUAACUUCGUGCCAGCAGCCGCGGUAAUACGAAGGGGGCUAGCGUUGCUCGGAAUUACUGGGCGUAAAGGGAGCGUAGGCGGGUUAUCAAGUUGGAGGUGAAAGCCCAGGGCUCAACCUUGGAAUUGCCUUCAAAACUGAUAGCCUAGAGUAUGAUAGAGGUAUGUGGAACUCCGAGUGUAGAGGUGAAAUUCGUAGAUAUUCGGAAGAACACCAGUGGCGAAGGCGACAUACUGGGUCAUGACUGACGCUGAGGCUCGAAAGCGUGGGGAGCAAACAGGAUUAGAUACCCUGGUAGUCCACGCUGUAAACGAUGAUUGCUAGUUGUCGGACGGCAUGCGUCGGUGCGCNGCUACGACAUAAGUACGAUACCGCCGUCGGGGAGGUACGGUCGGCGAAGAAGUUAAAACGUUAAAGGUUAAAGUUAGUACGGACGUUGAGACGUUGCCGACGGACGACGACGAGGGAGGAGG
rnacentral:rRNA from 1 species